rnacentral:rRNA from 1 species
UACAUGUGGGGCAAGCGUUGUUCGGAAUUACUGGGCAUAAAGGGUGCGUAGGCGGCUUGUUAAGUCAGGGGUGAAAGUUUUCGGCCCAACCGGAAAAUUGCCUUUGAUACUGGCGAGCUGGAGUGCGUGAGGGGUGACCGGAACGAGUGGUGUAGCGGUGAAAUGCGUAGAUAUCACUCGGAAGGCCAACGGCGAAGGCAGGUCACUGGUGCGCAACUGACGCUGAGGCACGAAAGCGUGGGGAGCGAACGGG